GAGGGUAUAGCUCAAGUGGUAGAGCAUGUGCUUAGCAUGCACAAGAUCCUGGGUUCGUUCAAUUCCCAGUUCCUCCU
rnacentral:tRNA from 1 species